rnacentral:rRNA from 1 species
UACGUAGGGUGCAAGCGUUGUCCGGAAUUAUUGGGCGUAAAGAGCUCGUAGGCGGCUUGUCGCGUCGGCUGUGAAAUCCCGUGGCUCAACUGCGGGUCUGCAGCCGAUACGGGCAGGCUAGAGUUCGGUAGGGGGAGACUGGAAUUCCUGGUGUAGCGGUGAAAUGCGCAGAUAUCAGGAGGAACACCGAUGGCGAAGGCAGGUCUCUGGGCCGAUACUGACGCUGAGGAGCGAAAGCGUGGGGAGCGAACAGG